UGCUAAGGGAUUCAGACCCAGCAGUCCUAUCCCACUGCCACUGUUCUUGUGCAGCAGGAAGUGCCUUGUGCAACCACAUCAUAGCACUUUGUUCCAGACAGCACACUACUCCCAGCAUGGAAGCUGUACUGAGACAGAACAAAGUUGGCACAAACCCAGAACAUGGGUGUGCAACCUGGCCUGUUAAUAAAAUGAUGAUUAAAAAACCUACCCUCAACAGCUUGGCUGAAGGAUGAAUUAGACGGCUGAUACGAAGCUGGAGCUGCAGCGAGAAGCCCGGA